AAAAAAAAAAAAAAAAAGAAAAAAAAGUACAUUAAAGAUAUUAAGAAAUAUGAUAAACAAAGACGUACCUUCUUGCGUUUAAUCGAAUAGUCGCAGAAUAGGAGUAUAAAUUAAUUUGUGGUUAAAAAGUGUACAUUGGAUUUAUUAAUUAAGGGCUUUUACUUGUGAAUAAUCGUUGCGCAGUUAAUUGAUAAUUAUUAUAAUCUAAAUGAACUUAUUUACGUAAAAUUAUUAUAAUACUUAAAACAAGAAAGUUAAAGUAAGAAUAAAUUAUAGAACUAAAUUGCUUCAUUUAAAUGAAGAAAAAAUAAGAAUUGCAACUUUUAAAAAUAAGUUAUAUGUUUCUUAAAAUAUUUGAAAAAUAUCCUAUUGUAUUUCUUAUGAAUAAUAGUAGCCAUCAGAAAUCGAGAAUACAACGAUGGUUAGCACCCCAAGAUUAAUACAAGCAAACAACUAUGAAGAAUAACAAAGGAGGUACGAGAAUAUUAAUGAAAAAUUUAAAUGUUCAAUAUAUUUUUAAAAUGCAAUAAAAGUAAUAAACGAAAUAAAAAUAGUUUCUCGUUAUUAACCUCUGUAUUUGUUGUGUUUCCACAUUUAACACUCAAUAUAUUAAUCUCAAUUUUAUUUUCUCGUAAAUACAAAAAACCUAACUGCUUAUUUAUUUAUAAACAUUAUCUUUUAUUUUUACUUAAAAAACGAUUUUAAUAAAAUAAAAGUGUAAUUUAAAAACCAGCGUAAACAAAUUCGAGAGGCGAAAUUGCUGAAAUGUUCGAAGGAUUAAGAUUAAUCUGCAGAAAGGAAUUAUUAUUACAAAAUUUACUCUAAGUUAACGACGACGACGACAACGACGAUGACGACGACGACGUUAUUUAGAAUUUACAAAGAAGAGCAGGCCAGUCCAUUUUUGAUCUUCGUAAUUAAGAAAAAAGGAUAAACUGGAGAUGUAAUUAGUCAUAUCCGCAUUAAGGUGAAUCAUACCCACAUUGAGGAAUAUAUCGUAAUAAUGCUAAUGAUGGACAUGUAACUAGUUAAAUAUAUAAUGCUUACCAAUGGCAAUGAAUGUUUGCUCUUCCAAUACUAACCGAUAUCUUAACAAUAAUUAAAUUCUAAGAGAUAAUUCUAAGAGUAACUACUCCUAUGUUGGAUGCAGUUAAUGCGGUCAUUGCACAGUAAGAAUAUUUAACAUAAGAGUAAAUUAACGGUAAAAAAUACGAGUAACUCUGGGUGAAGAGAUUAAGUGAUAAAACGAUAAAAUGGAACUGAUAGAGUGAUGUUAUA